rnacentral:rRNA from 1 species
UACGUAGGGUGCAAGCGUUAAUCGGAAUUACUGGGCGUAAAGCGUGCGCAGGCGGUUGUGCAAGACAGAUGUGAAAUCCCCGGGCUCAACCUGGGAAUUGCAUUUGUGACUGCACGGCUAGAGUGUGUCAGAGGGGGGGUAGAAUUCCACGUGUAGCAGUGAAAUGCGUAGAGAUGUGGAGGAACACCGAUGGCGAAGGCAGCCCCCCUGGGUCAAGAUUGACGCUCAUGCACGAAAGCGUGGGGGAGCAAACAGG